GUGGCGUCAAGGUCACGGGACUGCGGCGGGAGAAGGUUUUGCGGGUAAAGAAGAGUUCCUGCCGGGUCUCACCACUACAACUGGGGGAAGAAACGAGAAGCCUGCAUUUGAAAAUACUAAGAAGGCCAACCCCCCUGAAGGCACUCUUUAGGUGAGCAAGGUUCGUUAAGAGGAGGCUGCAGGGGCAGUGUGGGCUAGGACCCUGGGAGUUCUAGUCCUUGGUCUGUUGAGGUAGGCAAGAGGAAAGCGGAGUCCUUCUGUAGGGAUCCCUGAGCUGAGCACUAAGUCCCAGGAGGAACCAGGGCAGGGUCCCUGCAAUAGUGAGGAGCUGGGAAUUCCAGAAUUCCAGACUAUCAAUCCUAUUCCCUUCUUCUGCAACUGGGGAAACUGAGGCUCGGACUGGAAAGGAACAAAGAGGUGCUAGAUAGGGAAAGCCAGGACUCUUGCCUGUCACAUCUCUUGCCUGCCAGCCUAAAGCAAUUUUAGCCAAAAUCCUAGGUCUCAGACCUCCUCCUACAAUAUAGCUUGGGCAGAGAUAGAGAACAACCUUACAAGGUCCCCACCAUCCCGGGAGUUCUGCUGCUCUCCACGGACUACAGUAAAGCAUUUUGGGGUCUCUGAGAAGGCAGUCUAGAGCCUAGUUGUACUGCAGUCUCCCCCGACGUCAUCCUGCUGGGGGUUGCCCCAGCCCCAAGCCUCAGGAGAUCCCUUAGGGCUGAGUUUCUGGUGGGGGCACCGCUUGAAAAAUGACACUGAAUACCUUCUCUAGGUUGGGGAACAGUGCUUUCCACAUCACUGGCAG
rnacentral:lncRNA from 1 species